rnacentral:tRNA from 1 species
GCGCGCUUAUGUCAGUGGUAGACGACUUGACUUCGAUUCAAGAGGUCGUAGGUUCGAAUCCUGCAGCGCGCU